rnacentral:rRNA from 1 species
AUUGAACGCUGGCGGCAGGCCUAACACAUGCAAGUCGAACGAGUGGCGGACGGGUGAGUAAUGUCUGGGAAACUGCCUGAUGGAGGGGGAUAACUACUGGAAACGGUAGCUAAUACCGCAUACCAUCAGAUGUGCCCAGAUGGGAUUAGCUGGUUGGUGGGGUAACGGCUCACCCAGGCGACGAUCCCUAGCUGGUCUGAGAGGAUGACCAGCAAAACUGGAACUGAGCCACGGUCCAGAUUCCUAGGGGAGGCAGCAGUGGGGAAUAUUGCACAUGGGGCGCAAGCCUAAUUCAGCCAUGCCGCGUGUAUGAAGAGGUCCUUCGGGUUGUAAAGUCCUUUCGGCGGGGAGGCGUUACCCGAAGAGGAAGCCCCGGCGAACUACGUGCCAGCAGCCGCGGUAAUUC